rnacentral:sRNA from 1 species
AUUUUUGAAAUUUGUCAUCAUGUUUGGAUCGAGAUCAUUUACCUUCGUAUCGCUACUGGUUGCCAUGGUGAUAAUUAGCUUCUUGUCAUCCAGUCAUGCUACCUAUUCUCGUGGCGGUCGCCGUGGAAGCGUCAGACAUUGGGGCGGAGCAAGGGGUCGGCACAGUCAUGGUAAUGGUACUAACAGUGUUUGGG